rnacentral:rRNA from 1 species
CUUGCGCUAUCAGAUGAGCCUAGGUCGGAUUAGCUUGUUGGUGAGGUAAUGGCUCACCAAGGCGACUAUCCGUAACUGGUCUGAGAGGAUGAUCAGUCACACUGGAACUGAGACACGGUCCAGACUCCUACGGGAGGCAGCAGUGGGGAAUAUUGGACAAUGGGCGAAAGCCUGAUCCAGCCAUGCCGCGUGUGUGAAGAAGGUCUUCGGAUUGUAAAGCACUUUAAGUUGGGAGGAAGGGUUGUAGAUAAAUACUCUGCAAUUUUGACGUUACCGACUGAAUAAGCACCGGCUAACUCUGUGCCAGCAGCCGCGGUAAUACAGAGGGUGCAAGCGUUAAUCGGAAUUACUGGGCCGUAAAGCGCGCGUAGGUGGUUUGUUAAGUUGGAUGUGAAAGCCCCGGGCUCAACCUGGGAACUGCAUCGAAAACUGGCAUGCUAGAGUAGGGUAGAGGGUGGUGGAAAUUUCCUGUGUAGCGCUCAAGUGCAUAGAUAUAAGGAAGGAACACCUGUGGCGAACGCGACCACCUGAGACUGAUACUGACACUGGAGGUGCGAAGCGUGGCGCAGAAACAGGGAUUAGAUACCCUGGUAGUCCACCCCGUAAACCAUGUCACUAAGCCGUUGGAAUUCAUUGAUAUUUUGGUGCCGCACCUUAACGCAUUGAGGUCUGACCGCCUGGGGAAGUACGGCCGCAAGAUU